UAACACGUGGAUAACCUACCUAUAAGACUGGGAUAGCUUCGGGAAACCGGAGCUAAUACCGGAUGAUAUUUUGAACCGCAUGGUUCAAAAGUGAAAGACGGUCUUGCUGUCACUUAUAGAUGGAUCCGCGCUGCAUUAGCUAGUUGGUAAGGUAACGGCUUACCAAGGCAACGAUGCAUAGCCGACCUGAGAGGGUGAUCGGCCACACUGGAACUGAGACACGGUCCAG
rnacentral:rRNA from 1 species